UGGGGAAUUUUGGACAAUGGGGGAAACCCUGAUCCAGCCAUCCCGCGUGUGCGAUGAAGGCCUUCGGGUUGUAAAGCACUUUUGGCAGGAAAGAAACGUCAUGGGUUAAUACCCCGUGAAACUGACGGUACUUGCAGAAUAAGCACCGGCUAACUACGUGCCAGCAGCCGCGGUAAUACGUAGGGUGCAAGCGUUAAUCGGAAUUACUGGGCGUAAAGCGUGCGCAGGCGGUUCGGAAAGAAAGAUGUGAAAUCCCAGAGCUCAACGUUGGAACUGCCUUUUUAACUACCGGGCUAGAGUGUGUCAGAGGGAGGUGGAAUUCCGCGUGUAGCAGUGAAAUGCGUAGAUAUGCGGAGGAACACCGAUGGCGAAGGCAGCCUCCUGGGAUAACACUGACGCUCAUGCACGAAAGCGUGGGGAGCAAACAGG
rnacentral:rRNA from 1 species